UUGUGACACCAUUCACAACGGACCGUCGGGCACGUACCUGCCCGUGAGGGGAUAGAUCA
rfam:Arthrobacter rhombi strain B Ar 00.02 genome assembly, contig: Scaffold35